UUACGUCAUUUGAAAGAAACACUCGAAGAAAAGAGCGAUGCAGUUGCAAGCUCGUCGCAGAAAAGUCUGGCGGUUCAAAAGGAAAGAUCAAGCUCGUUUGCGUCAAUCAUCAGCGAGCAUGUGAGUCUCGUCAAAACCGGAAAGGAGCAGUUACGGGUGAAGGUUCCCUGACAGACUCCCCCGUCUGCGUGUCUCCCGCUUUAUUUUCCCUCGUAUCAGUCGACGUCUUAUCGACUCGUGUCAACACGAAAUCAGGGUCUCGCCCCUGCAAACUCGGCUCUAUUUCCGGACCGUAGCAGUUAUUUCUAUCGGAGUUUACACACGAUCGUCUAGUUCACGGAAGACACCGCGUGUCUUUGUGAAGGAAUCGCUGCGGAAAUAUGCUAUGGAAUGUGACCGGAGACCGUCGAUGCUUAAAAUGAAAUCCUGGUCAGCUGCCAGGAUCAUAUUCACAGAGUUGUGCGAGAAAGAGAGAUUCCCGCGACGACUCAUACAUCGAACCGAAGAAAACUGCGCAGUUCUCUCUUCACCAAGCCCAUCCAAUAUGCUACUGAGAAUGCAGCAAUUAAGAUGAAAUUGCAAGUGCAUUAAAACCCUUCCAUCGAGACUGUCCAAGUGGUCGAAACGCAAUCGAGGAGAAAAAAAACGGACACAAAGAGAGUGCCCCGGGUUAAGAAAUAAUAAGCAAGGUCCGACUCUCUUGCGAAGAAGAGAUUUUCUUGAAUGUAAGUAAAAGGGUGUCCAAUUAGACGGUUGAUUGUCGAGGGACAGACAUUCGCGGAAAAUUUACUUCGUUUGUGAUUUUGAGGAGAAACGGUUUAUCAAGAUAAUAUAGAUCUGUCGGUCGGGUUGAAUAAUUGUUGGAAAUGUAAGCGAUAUUACGAGAUGAGACGGUGCGAGAAAAUUGAAACGCGAACAACUAUUUAGUUAGACAUGUGAGCUCGACGCAGUUGCGGAGCAUUUUCUGCAAAAUGUGCUUUAUAAUUUAUUUCGCAGAGUAGUUGUUGGCGGUCGACUACAUUCAAAUACAUUGUAAUUCACAAUGUGGUUAAUGUACCACAGGGAGACUGGAUCGGAUUUCGAGAUUAAUUAACAAAGUCCGCCACUUUGGCCGGGGUUUAUUCGGCUUAGGCAAAUGUUAUACAACCGUAAAUUGUUGACAAUUCUUGUUGAAAAAACAACGAAGAAUUAAAGCAAUUCUCUGUCGAGAAUUUUAGAUUACCGGUUUAUUCAAAUUUUAAGUGUUAAAAUCAUUCAAAUUCAAAACGUACGUAAAAUUUUUUAAAUUAAAAUAAUAACAAGAUUAACAAUAAAA